AAGAAAUUAGUUAAAUUAUAACCUUAGCUUGUCAAGCUAAAAUUAUCUAUACAGAUAUUUCUUA
rnacentral:tRNA from 1 species